AUAAAAAGUUACUGAAAAGGUCGCACAUGAGGUGUAACUAUAGUUCACAAAGAAAAUCCUCUGAUUUUAUAAACCUUGAUUUGUGCCGAGAUGCUCAGUCUUUAAACUGGAAAGUUGCCUUGUCUGAAGAAGAAGAAACAGGAAUUACCAGGCCCGGGGAAUCGGCAUGACAUAAUCGCCUUCCUCUCGAGGUGGAGGUCGGAAGACAGAAGGAGAAGAGGAAGGAGGAAGAGAGAGAGACUGGGCUCGAUAAGCGCUGCUAUCAGAACGCACCCAAACACAGCGUCCGGCAGUUCUCCCUUGUGCAGGCGGAGGAAAACAGAUACCCUUAGCAGGUUUGGGCACUUUUCCAUGCUGUCUCUUCCCUCUUUUGUCACCCAUUUCAAUAGGUAGGACUCAAAGAGGAUGUCUGUUAGGAUGUUCGUGACAAAGAAUAAAUACAGCAAUUGUCUUCUGCACAAGAGGCUUUAUUGUGUGUAAAACUCUCCAAAGUAAGCUGCGGGAUUAAAGGCUUGUUCAGUGUAUGUUGUUGGCUGUUUUAAUCAAUUUGAAAUUUGUUAAAGAAAGUUAAUAAAAACAGAGAAUAAAAAGCAAGCAUGUGAGAAAAUACUGGUGUCAUCACCUACUUCACUCACAUAUUUCUUUAGCUUCAAAUCCAACCAUCCUAUAUCUGCUCAUCCUGUAUCCCCCAAUGAGCCAUCACUUUCCUGAUCUCUCCAUCUCUCCUAAUGAGCAGACAUUCUCUCUUAACCUGUGCCGCCAUCAACUAAUGUCUUACAGCUAAUUACCAUCGGUUUGUCACAGCUUAUGCAGCUCACUCAUUCCCCUUGGGUUCAAUA